rnacentral:rRNA from 1 species
GAUGAACGCUAGCGGGAGGCCUAACACAUGCAAGCCGAGCGGUAUUUGUUCUUCGGAACAGAGAGAGCGGCGCACGGGUGCGGAACACGUGUGCAACCUGCCUUUAUCUGGGGGAUAGCCUUUCGAAAGGAAGAUUAAUACCCCAUAAUAUAUUGAGUGGCAUCAUUUGAUAUUGAAAACUCCGGUGGAUAGAGAUGGGCACGCGCAAGAUUAGAUAGUUGGUGAGGUAACGGCUCACCAAGUCAAUGAUCUUUAGGGGGCCUGAGAGGGUGAUCCCCCACACUGGUACUGAGACACGGGCCAGACUCCUACGGGAGGCAGCAGUGAGGAAUAUUGGACAAUGGGUUAGCGCCUGAUCCAGCCAGCCCGCGUGAAGGACGACGGCCCUAUGGGUUGUAAACUUCUUUUGUAUAGGGAUAAACCUACUCUCGUGAGAGUAGCUGAAGGUACUAUACGAAUAAGCACCGGCUAACUCCGU